rnacentral:tRNA from 1 species
CGGGGUAGCUCAGUUGGUUAGAGCGUGGGACUCAUAAACCCAAGGUCACAGGUUCAAUUCCUGUCCUCGGC